UACGGAGGGUGCAAGCGUUAAUCGGAAUUACUGGGCGUAAAGCGUGCGUAGGCGGUUCGUUAAGUCUGUUGUGAAAGCCCCGGGCUCAACCUGGAAUGGCAAUGGAUACUGGCGAGCUAGAGUGUGUCAGAGGAUGGUGGAAUUCCCGGUGGUAGCGGUGAAAUGCGUAGAGAUCGGGAGGAACAUCAGUGGCGAAGGCGGCCA
rnacentral:rRNA from 1 species